CGGAGCUGCUGGCCAGGGGUCCUACAUGUCCUCUCUCUCCUCCAGCCCCCGCCAGCAGCCACAUGUUACUGCCUGUGGGCCGGUGAGGGAGUUUUUGGAUCUCAUCACUAGCCCUCAUGGCACACAGCAGGGCCGGCGCUCGGAUAGUGCCGGCCCUGCAAGGGCCGACAGUGGAGAUCUCUUGAUCUCCCCUUUCGACCUCGGCCCUUGGACAUCACGCCAAUGGUCUCAGCCUGCAGGAUAGCAUUUAGCUUUCAUUACCUCCCGUGAGCUUAGCAGUGUAGAGCAGGGCUGGCUCAGUGGCUGGAAGCGGAAGCUGGCUUUUACGGAGGAGGUGGAAAGGGACCUUCUGGACCCCAGGUUCUCCUGGCAUGAUAAGCACUACAGCAUUGUGUCCCCUCGCCUUACCUUUCACUAAAGAACAGUCCCUAUUUGUGUACAACAGUCCUGCAUUUUAUUUGUUGUAUCAUACAGUAUGUUUAUAUAUGUUUUAUUCUCUGCACAUUGACCCCCAUGCACUGUUGACUGUUUCGGAUAUCAAUGUGCUUAAUGUGGUAUUUGUUGUACCUGGAAAAUUACAGCAUCCUAGCCUUCCCAAAUUCAUUUUGUGCCUUCUUUCUCCCUUCUUACUUUUAAAACCAAUUAUAAUUUUAAAACUAAAAAAAUGUAAAUUAUCCAAAAAACAAUGUUUUGGCUAUUGAGCAGUCAUUACGAACAUCUAUAACUCAACAAUGAAAUUCAUCACAUCUAGUGAACAGCCUAUAUUUACUGCAAUUUUUUUGAUACUACAGUUUGAACAAAGAAUUAUGGAAACAAUGUAUAUACACAAUGUUGCCAGUGAAACGACAAUACAUAUAAGUAUUAAAUGC